GACGUAGGGCGCGAGCGUUGUCCGGAUUUAUUGGGCGUAAAGAGCUCGUAGGCGGCUCGUUGCGUCGGCUGUGAAAACCCGCAGCUCAACUGUGGGCUUGCAGCUGAUACGGGCGGGCUGGGAUUCGGUAGGGGAGACUGGAAUUCCUGGUGUAGCGGUGGAAUGCGCAGAUAUCAGGAGGAACACCGGUGGCGAAGGCGGGUCUCUGGGCCAUUACUGACGCUGAGGAGCGAAAGCGUGGGGAGCGAACAGG
rnacentral:rRNA from 1 species